UACGAAGGGGGCGAGCGUUAUUCGGAAUCACUGGGCGUAAAGCGUGCGUAGGCGGUUUUGUAAGUCAGAAGUGAAAGCCCAGGGCUCAACCCUGGAAUUGCUUUUGAAACUACAAGACUUGGGAUUCGGGAGAGGAUAGCGGAAUUGUCAGUGUAGCAGUGAAAUGCGUAGAUAUUGACAGGAACACCAGUGGCGCAAGCGGCUAUCUGGACCGACAUCGACGCUGAGGCACGAAAGCGUGGGGAUCAAACAGG
rnacentral:rRNA from 1 species